UACGUAGGGUGCAAGCGUUGUCCGGAAUACUGGGCGUAAAGCGUGCGCAGGCGGUUAUGUAAGACAGGUGUGAAAUCCCCGGGCUUAACCUGGGAACUGCAUUUGUGACUGCAUAGCUAGAGUACGGUAGAGGGGGAUGGAAUUCCGCGUGUAGCAGUGAAAUGCGUAGAUAUGCGGAGGAACACCGAUGGCGAAGGCAAUCCCCUGGACCUGUACUGACGCUCAUGCACGAAAGCGUGGGGAGCAAACAGG
rnacentral:rRNA from 1 species